rnacentral:tRNA from 1 species
GGACUCGUAGCUCAGUUGGCUAGAGCGUCACAUUGACAUUGUGAAGGCCGGGGGUUCGAGCCCCUCCGAGUCCA